GUCGGGAAUAUUGCGCAAUGGGGGAAACCCUGACGCAGCGACGUCAUGUGAAGGAUGAAGGCUCUAGGGUUGUAAACUUCUGUCUAGAGGGACGAAAAAAAUGACGGUACCUCUAAAGAAAGCACCGGCUAACUCCGUGCCAGCAGCCGCGGUAAUACGGAGGGUGCAAGCGUUAUUCGGAAUUACUAGGUGUAAAGGGCGUGUAGGCGGUUUAGUAAGUUAGAUGUGAAAACCCAUAGCUCAACUGUGGGCCUGCAUCUAAAACUAUUAGACUUGAGUAUGGAAGGGGAAAACGGAAUUUCUAGUGUAGCGGUGGAAUGUGUAGAUACUAGAAGGAACACCGAUGGCGAAAGCGGUUUUCUGGUCCAAUACUGACGCUAAGGCGCGAAAGCUAGGGGAGCAAACAGGAUUAGAUACCCGGGUAGUCC
rnacentral:rRNA from 1 species